AAAGUCGUAACAAGGUUUCCGUAGGUGAACCUGCGGAAGGAUCAUUAACACGUAUCCAUACGUAUUAUAUACCAAACCGUGAACUUGUUUGUAAAUGAGAAAGGGGAGUGUGGAAUCGGUCUUCGGAUUGAGGAAGCAUGAACUUUUGUAUCUUAUUUCAACCUUAUAAACCACUUGUAACCAUAUUGUACUAAACCUAAGAUAAUGUGAUAAGCCUUCGGGUGCAUCUCAUUUCUGUAUUUACGAAACGUAAAAACAAUUCUUAGCAACGGAUAUCUUGGUUCUC
rnacentral:misc_RNA from 1 species